AGAACGAGUAGUAGAAAUUGCAAAACACUUUGUUUUUCUGCUCAAGGAUACAACCAUGGCAGCUCGGUGGAA